CUUGCCCUCUGGCGGCAUUCUUAACACAUGCAAGUCGAGCGAGCGGCGGACGGGUGAGUAAUGUCUGGGAAACUGCCUGAUGGAGGGGGAUAACUACUGGAAACGGUAGCUAAUACCGCAUACCAUCAGAUGUGCCCAGAUGGGAUUAGCUAGUAGGUGGUGUAAUGGCUCACCUAGGCGACGAUCCCUAGCUGGUCUGAGAGGAUGACCAGCCACACUGGAACUGAGACACGGUCCAGACUCCUACGGGAGGCAGCAGUGGGGAAUAUUGCACAAUGGGCGCAAGCCUGAUGUAGCCAUGCCGCGUGUGUGAAGAAGGCCUUCGGGUUGUAAAGCACUUUCAGCGAGGAGGCGUUACUCGCAGAAGAAGCACCGGCUAACUCCGUGCCAGCAGCCGCGGUAAUUC
rnacentral:rRNA from 1 species